AACAGAGGAUAUUAAUAUUAUGGUGUUUUAAUAUUUUUACACACACUUAAACUCUUCUACCAAACCUGCCAGCUCCACCUGUGAAUUCAGUUUUUUUUUUCAGAUGUUACAUAGAACAAUCGAAAGCAAAUAUUACAGUUUUUUUUUUUUUUUUUUGGUCGUUAACAGUUAUUCUUCUGGAAGCUAGUAAACUGUUGUGAUGUUGUAUCGCUUUUCGGCAAAUCCUCAAUUUACAUUUUUUACGGAACACUGUAAAGGCAACAGGGUUGUCAGUAUAAUUGGUUUCUGUCAAGAUGCUUUAUCACUUUGCAAAGAACGUUUAUUGAUUUUCCCCCUUACAUUUUUAAUGUUUGGAAGUGACAAUAAAAAAAGUCACAGAAAUCGUUAUAAUGACAUAUAUAUAUAUAUAUAUAUAUAUAUAUAUAUAUAUAUAUAUAUAUAUAUAUAUAUAUAUAUAUAUAUAUAUAUAUAUAUAAAUCUGUUUUCGCACAGUAACGUUAGUCCCAAAGAGACUUUUCUUUUUGUCAAGCUGCAGGCAGAAGAUGUUUGUUGCUGCUGACUGCUGAGGAGGAUGUUCCCUGGAGCUUAUGUUUUUUCCCAUAAAGAUGGGUGAUCUGGACAUUUAUUCCAGCAACGAAGAAUUGAAGCCCAUCUGAAUGUAACACUUCAUUGGUCCACCGAUGACCGUUCCUCAUUUGAUUCCAACAUAUCAGUGGACACCAGAGGAACAACCUGAUGUUUCUUUCAGUCCAAACGCAGUAAAAGGAAGCAACAGAAAGAGAAGGAGAGACAAUCACAGUCAGAAAGACCUCAAGAGACAGCGCUUCGUUUCUUCAGGUCCUCAUAACCAGCCUGCUAGAAAUGCCAACUUUACCUCCAAACCGGCGGCUGGACCAGUGACAAGCAGAGAAACAUCUCAGUUAUGUAUGUAACCAUGGUUACCUGAAUAGGGAACGAGAUGCUGCGGUGACGUCACCACGUAUGGGAACACCUUCGGUGUGACGAAUGUCUGAAGCCCUAUACCAUCCCGCCAAUCCUAUUGGCCAAAUAGCGCUUGGCACCGCCCACGCAUGCGUACGCAUAUAUACCUGGUGCCGCGCGCCAUUUCACUCAGAUUUCAUGACUGAAGAAGAAGAAUGCUAUCAAGGUAUGGCACGGCCAGGACCGCAGCAUCUCGUUCCCUAUUCAGGGAACCAUGGUUACAUACGUAACCGAGAUGUUCCCUUUCAUAGGUCACUUCGAUGCUGCGGUGACGUCACCACGUAUGGGAACGCUAUACCAUAACGCCUGACGUACCUGAUAGCUAGGAUCCAAGAAGGCAUCUGCUCAAGCGGAGAGAACCCGGGAGCCAGGAGCCAUCCUCACAUCCAGACUGUAAGACUUGAUAAAAGUGCUCUGUGAGGACCAACCUGCCGCAGCACAGAUAUCAUCCAUAGAAGAUCCACUGAGAAAAGCUUAAGAAGAAGCCACUGCUCUCGUGGAAUGAGGUUUAACUCCUAAGGGCGAAUAGCCGCAUAGGCUAAAGAUAUUGCAUCCACCAGCCAAUGGGACAUGCGCUGUUUUGUAACCGCAUGGCCUUUAUUUUUGUGUCCGAAACAGACAAACAGCUGGUCAGACUCACGCCAUGGGGCAGUGCGAUCCACAUAAGUCUUUAAAGCUCUCACGGGGCAAAGACUUAGAUCUCCAGACUCCGCCACAGCAGGGGAUAAAGCCUCCAGGACCACCUGCUGAAAGCGAAAUGGAUUAGAUGCAACCUUAGGGACAUAAUUAGGCCUUUGUCGCAAUAGCACCUUCACAGAGCCCGGCGCAAACUCCAUGCACGAAGGUGAGACGGAGAGAGCCUGUAAAUCCCCAACUCUCUUGAGGGAAGAUAAAGCCAUGAGAAGAAGUGUCUUCAAAGUCAGGAUCUUAUCCGGUACAGUUUCAAAGGGCUCAAACGGAUGCCCUGAUAAACCAUGCAACAUGGAUAAAUCCCAUGAAGGAACUCGCACAGGGCGGAAAGGCCUCAGCCGUCGCGCACCCUGUAUGAAACGAGAAACCAGUGGAUGACGACCCACUGAGGCACCAUCUAUAUAUUUGUGGUAAGCUGAAAUGGCUGCCACGUAAACCUUUAAGGUAGCUGGAGUCACUCCAUCCGAAAAACGGUCCUGAAGGAACUCCAGUACUGAAGCCACUGGGCAGUAAAUGUGGUGUAUUUUGCCGGUUCUCCAAAGAAUCGAACUCAGUCAGGGAUUUUUCUCUCAGAAGAAAAUACUUUAUUUUAAGCAAAACAAAGCCGAGAGGUCCUUGCAAGGAGAUCUCCCGAAAUGCUAGGUUUCAUCUCAUUAUAUACCCUAUACAGGGCGUUUCCAAAUAGUCAAACUUUUCCUUAUGCUUGCAAUUUUGAUCCCUCCCUAGGGAGGAGAGGCCCCUACUUGUUUUGGUAAAACGGAAGGCCCUUGUCUGGCCAUAUGUUUCUCCUCAGUUCUGAACAUUCCAGCACGUAGGCAACUUUCUAUCCAUUACCUAUAGGAUUAUAAUGGAAAAACAACUAGCAACAAAAAUGGCUUGAUUCACAUUGAUUAUUCUUGAUUGAUUAAAAUCUUACUAAUAAAAAUCUUCCACAUAAACUGGAUCCACAGUACGAUUUUCACACCAGGCUGUAAACAGUCUCCACUUGAAAGCAUAUAAGCGUCUCGUAGAAGCUGCUCUAGAAUUCAGUAUAGUCUUGGUAGUUUCAGCAGAAAGACCGGGACAUAUUAAUUCACUCCACUCAGAGGCCAUGCCCACAGAUUCCAUAAAUCCGGCCUGGGAUGCCAAAUCAGCCCCCGCGCUUGCGAUAAUAAAUCCUGUCUGAGGGGAAUCUCCCAUGAAGAGCCCGCUAACAGAUUGAUCAGAUCCGCAAACGACGGCUGCGUGUGCCACCGCGGAGCCACCAGCAGCAGCUGUUCCACUCUGUCCCGCCGUAUUCUGCAUAAUACCGCUGGGAUCAGACGAAUUGGAGGAAACGCAUACAAACUGGUCCUGGGCCAGUUGUGUGCUAACACAUCCAAGCCCAGGGGUGAUGGAGGGCAUAGGGAGAACCAUAGCGGGCAAUGCGUAGUCGUGCUCGAUGCGAAUAAAUCCACUUUCGCUUCUCCGAAAAUCUGCCAUAGGAGACUCACCGUUUGUGGGUGCAAUCUCCAUUCCCCUUGCUCCAGAGUCUGUCUGGAUAGCAAAUCCGCUCCGAAGUUCAAUCGUCCGGGGAUAUGAACGGCCCGGACCGACAGAAAUUUGUUGUGAGACCAAAGAAGAAUAAGUCUCGCCAGCCUGCAUAGGGGGCGAGACAUAAUCCUCCCUGAUCAUUCAGGUAUGACACAACCGCUAUGUUGUCCGAUCUGAUCAGUACAUGACGGCCGAUCAGCAGACUCGCGAAAUACUGGAGAGCUAGAAAAAAUGGCAGUAAUUCCAAUCUGUUUAUGUGCCUGCUGCGUUGAGCCACUGUCCACACUCCAUGGGUUGGUCGCCCUUGACAAACAGCUCCCCAUCCGGUCAUAGACGCAUCCGUUCUAACAGUCUCUCGGAUAGCACAAAUCCCCAGCCGAACUCCAGUUAGGAGAAAUUCGGUUGUCAUCCAUAGCUUUAACGACAUCACACAACCUUCCAUUCCAGCCCCAAUUUACCCACUGCACGAGAAACCACAUCCAACAGCUCACUGUAGGAGGGGGAAACACGCCUCUCCUGUCCGCUAGGAGGGAGAGAGCUGGAGUCGGUCGCGAAGUCCUCAGACCUCGAGGCCGCGGUGGAUAAAACGUCGUCAUCAUGGCGUCCGCAACCGAAGGAGAUGGCACUACAUGCCUCCGGUGUGGGCCGUAAAUCCUCAUUGGAAAAGACGACAGGCUCAAUAAAAGAUUCAUUCUGCGCCAGGGUAGGGGAGAGCGAGCGACAUGGAGAAUAAUCCAGCGCUGAGCUUUCCUCGAAGUCCAUGUCGCACGUGUCACCCCAAACUAUCACCUCGUGCGGUGCCUCGGCAGUCGCAGAAGUGACAUGGCGGGGGUUAGACACGGGGGCAACAUCAGCAAAUACAUCUACCCUCAAGCGCAGUGUUUUGAGCCGCAGGCCAUCGCAAUGGGGACAGGUAGAAAGGCCGCUGAGCACCGCCUGUGCGUGGUGCAAACCAAGGCAAACUACGCACCUGUCAUGAGUGUCCCCUUUGACGAUGUACCUGGUACAUGGCUCCCUGCACUUCUUGAAACUCAUCGCGUCCGCGGAGAGUAGUAAACUGCUUGAAGAAUCGCUGGAGAACACGAGAUGAAUAGUAGGGCACAGAAAAUCGGCUUCAUAAACUGAAGGAAUGAAAUCUGAGUGAAAUGGCGGGUGGCACCAGGUAUAUAUGCGUACGCAUGCGUGGGCGGUGCCAAGCGCUAUUUGGCCAAUAGGAUUGGCGGGAUGGUAUAGGGCUUCAGACAUUCGUCACACCGAAGGUGUUCCCAUACGUGGUGACGUCACCGCAGCAUCGAAGCGACCUAUGAAAGGGAACAUGUCAUUCUUAUUCCAGCAUCCCCACAUGCUCAUCAGCCGCCUCUAAACCCGAAGGCUGUGUUCCAUCUUUGAGAGAAGGAUCCCAUCAUAGUGCCUUUCCCCCGUCAUCAGUCAGUGAUAAGGUGAACAAACAAACGAAGGCCAGAAAUGUUGACUGAUUUAGUCAUGUCACCUUUAUUUGAAGCGCACAAGUGAUGGCAAAUUUUAGAGAAGUAAUGCAAUAAUGCACAAGUAAUCGAAGUAAACUCCAGUCCAACUCAUGGAGUAAAAGCUGUGUGUUUAAAAAAAAAAAACCUUUAAUCAUUUACUUUUUAACUUAAAACAGUUGCUUCUGGCCAAAAUAGUCAUUAAACAUUUUUUUUCCCCGGCUUUAAUGCAAGUUGAAAACUUUUUUUAUGAAGAAUGCUUUUUUAUGAAGUGUUUAUGUAACUCUUGUAUUAUCCCAACUCAGUCUUUGCCAUAAGCCUGGCAUGGCAAUAGAAAAUAAUUAUAAUAUAAAAAUAAUUAUAAAUAACAGUUAAUAAUAAUGUUUCUUCCAAUGAAAACCUACAUCCCCUGUUGUCCUCUCGCAUCAAAAUCCACCAACAUAUUUGUUUGGACCUUUUUUGUGCAUAUUUCUCUCCUGAUUCAGAUGAGAUAUUUUUUAGUGGAGAAAGCAAUAUCAUGGAGAGAGGACUAAUGUUUUAGCCAGAAGCAGGUAUUUAAAGUUAAAAAUGCCUUGAUGGAUUUGUUUGUUUAAAACACACAGCUUUUCACAUCACAAGGCAUUAAUUGAUGGACUGGGGUGAUGUGGAGUAUUUGUGGUUUACUGAGAUGUUUUUACCAGCUGUUUUUCACCAUUCUGAUGGCACCCAUUCACUGCAGAGGAUCCACUGGUGAGCAAGUGAUGUAAUGAUACAUUUCUCUAUUCUGAUGAAAAAACUAACUCCUCUACAUCUUGAAUGAGUAAGGUUGUUUUUGUGGUGAACUACUAUAAAUGGCAUUCUUCAUGAAAUUGUUCUAAUAAUUUGAAACCUUUUCUGUAUUUUUGGUCAAGGUGCACAAGUCUUGGCCGGGUCAUCUCUAAAUGGCUUUGGUACUCGCAGCAGUGAUGCUGAUCUUUGUCUUGUCAUUGAAGAGGGAACGGUAAACCACAGAACAGAUGCUGUAUAUGUUCUAAGUCUUGUGUGGAAAUAGUUUUACACACUGUGUAAGUGAUCUGCCAUACAUACAUCUUUAAACAUACAGAAGUUUCCCUUUGUACUUGACUUUGUUUCAUCCACUAAUGGCAUUACUGCUAAGAGACCUCAGCUCAUCAGAGCCAAAGUGCCCAUUCUGAAAUUCAGUCAGGUAAGCCAAAUCAGAGAUAGGUGUGUCUACACUUCUGUUCAAUAAUUUUUUUUAAGUAAAUGAAUACGCUUAUUUAGCAAGGAUGCAUUAAAUUGAUCAAAAGUGAUGGUAAAGACUCCUCUCCUGUGCCACUGCACAAAGGAACACAAUACACACAAAAAAAACAUUAAAUCAGUGCAAAUAGUUUUAAUAAAGUUCAUAUAGUUUUCCGUGCAAAAUGAACAGUUUUAAGUCAGUAUGUGAGGAUCACUGCUACAUGCUUAAUAUCUUUAAAUCACUCAGCAGCACUUCAAAAAGAAUAAGCAUAUCCACUUUUUCAGGAGAUAAACUGUCUUAAGUAGCAUGAUGCUACAGUGUGAAUGAAUGGUCACAUAACACACGUUUUCCUUGACACCUCACCAGAGCCAAUCACCAGCACAUGAUUAAGGCACAUCAAGCAUGCUGCUCGCUUACUGGCUGUGUGUUUGAGUAAACUCAAUUUGGUGUACUCAUUCCUGACAACUUGAGUAACUAACAUAAGCAUCUCAGUAUUUUACAGUAAUGAUGUAAUAUGCUAUAUGUAUUUCAACAGAAAUUCAGAGUAAAAUCUUAAAAGUAAGUCUUGCAGAAUAUAAGAAAGCAUGUAUGAGUUAUCACCAAAACAGAUAAUUUCAGCAUUGUUAAACAGGAGUAAAAUAAUUGUUAUGCAAUCUUUCUGCAUUUACACUUGUCUAUAUUCUCAUACAGAGCUACUUCCUCCUUUUAAGGAAGCUAGAGUUGUCAUGGGGAAUGGGGAAAUAAGGUCUACAAAACAAAUGGAAUUUGUAGUAACUUCUGCUAAAUACUAUUCUGAUCUUAUUAAUGUACAAGGUCUGUUUAAACAGCAGGUGAGGUUAUUUUUGGUGUUUAUUGUUCAUUUACAGUCCUACCAGGUUCUGCAGCUGAGCAAAGAUCUCAACUCUAUCCUGCCUCUUAAACAAAACAAGACCAAAAAGAUAGCAUGACCCCAGAUAAGAAUAAACUUACAGAAUGGAUUAAACUUGGACUCUUCAGUGAUAAAUUAUAAGAAGAAAUGCUUUGCUCCUUUACAAGGGGCUUCUGGGUGUGCUGGACCUUUUGGAAUGUGUUGAGCCAAAUCUGUUGAGCUGACGAGGAUAUUAUCUAGUCCCUAGUCAGAAACAUCAGUGUCUAUGUUUGAGUUUUACAUGUAACAUCAGACACUUUGCAAUAUCUUUUACCCAUAUGGUACACAGUCUGCAUUCAGGAAAUUAAUUUACUGUUGCAAUUUUUUUUCUCUCUGAGCAAUUUUGGGUUUAUUAGCCAAUAUAAUCCUUCUCCAGCUCACUGAAAUCAAUUAAAGCAAAAAAGUCCCCCCAAAAAAUCCUAACCAUGUUUAUGCUGACAGCUUUCCUGUGAUCAUUGUUUUCCUUAAAACCCCCCAAAAAAUUCUGGCAACUGACUACUUUUUACUUAUAUUUCUGUUGUAUUUUUAUGAUCUGUCAUGUUUUGUAUAGUUUGUACAGUCUUUUAAAAUGUUUAUUUAAAUGAUUAAAAUGUCACUAUGAAAUUGCA